rnacentral:rRNA from 1 species
GACGAACGCUGGCGGCGUGCUUAACACAUGCAAGUCGAACGGAAAGGCCCUGCUUUUGUGGGGUGCUCGAGUGGCGAACGUGUGAGUAACACGUGAGUAACCUGCCCUUGACUUUGGGAUAACUUCAGGAAACUGGGGCUAAUACCGGAUAGGAGCUCCUGCUGCAUGGUGGGGGUUGGAAAGUUUCGGCGGUUGGGGAUGGACUUGCGGCUUAUCAUCUUGUUGGUGGGGUAGCGGCUUACCAAGGCUUUGACGGGUAGCCGGCCUGAGAGGGUGACCGGCCACAUUGGGACUGAGAUACGGCCCAGACUCCUACGGGAGGCAGCAGUGGGGAAUAUUGCACAAUGGGCGGAAGCCUGAUGCAGCAACGCCGCGUGCGGGAUGACGGCCUUCGGGUUGUAAACCGCUUUCGCCUGUGACGAAGCGUGAGUGACGGUAAUGGGUAAAGAAGCACCGGCUAACUACGUG